rnacentral:rRNA from 1 species
CGAACGAACCUUCGGGUUAGUGGCGGACGGGUGAGCAACGCGUGAGAAUCUGCCCUCAGGAGGGGGAUAACGGUUGGAAACGACCGCUAAUACCCCAUAUGCCUACUGGUGAAAUGAAUUUCGCCUGAGGAUGAGCUCGCGUCUGAUUAGCUAGUUGGUGAGGUAAUGGCUCACCAAGGCUUCGAUCAGUAGCUGGUCUGAGAGGAUGAUCAGCCACACUGGGACUGAGACACGGCCCAGACUCCUACGGGAGGCAGCAGUGGGGAAUUUUCCGCAAUGGGCGAAAGCCUGACGGAGCAACGCCGCGUGAGGGACGAAGGCCUCUGGGCUGUAAACCUCUUUUCUCAAGGAAGAAGAUAUGACGGUACUUGAGGAAUAAGCCACGGCUAAUUCCGUGCCAGCAGCCGCGGUAAUACGGGAGUGGCAAGCGUUAUCCGGAAUUAUUGGGCGUAAAGCGUCCGCAGGCGGCUUUUCAAGUCUGCUGUUAAAGCGUGGAGCUUAACUCCAUCAUGGCAGUGGAAACUGAAAGGCUUGAGUAUGGUAGGGGCAGAGGGAAUUCCCGGUGUAGCGGUGAAAUGCGUAGAUAUCGGGAAGAACACCAGUGGCGAAGGCGCUCUGCUGGGCCAUUACUGACGCUCAUGGACGAAAGCCAGGGGAGCGAAAGGGAUUAGAUACCCCUGUAGUCCUGGCCGUAAACGAUGAACACUAGGUGUCGGGGGAAUCGACCCCUUCGGUGUCGUAGCUAACGCGUUAAAUGUUCCGCCUGGGGAGUACGCACGCAAGUGUGAAACUCAAAGGAAUUGACGGGGGCCCGCACAAGCGGUGGAGUAUGUGGUUUAAUUCGAUGCAACGCGAAGAACCUUACCAGGGUUUGACAUCCUGCGAACCUCUUAGAAAUUUGAGGGUGCCUUCGGGAAUGCAGUGACAGGUGGUGCAUGCUGUCGUCAGCUCGUGUCGUGAGAUGUGGGAUACGUCCCGCACGAGCGCACCCACGUUUUAGUGCAGCAUUUAGUGGCACUCUAGAAGACGCGUGAUAACGAGAGUGUGAUGACGUCAGUCAUCAUGCCCCUAACGCUGGCUACCACGUACUGACAUGCUACGACAAGGGCAGCAAUCGCGGGAAGCUAGCAAUUCUAAACCGGAUCAGUUCGAUCGUAGGUGCAACUCCUAUUUGAAGAAAAGAAAUCGCU